rnacentral:rRNA from 1 species
AGCGAACGCUGGCGGCAGGCUUAACACAUGCAAGUCGAGCGGGCACUUCGGUGUCAGCGGCAGACGGGUGAGUAACACGUGGGAACGUACCCUUCGGUUCGGAAUAACGCUGGGAAACUAGCGCUAAUACCGGAUACGCCCUUUUGGGGAAAGGUUUACUGCCGAAGGAUCGGCCGCGUCUGAUUAGCUAGUUGGUGGGGUAAUGGCCUACCAAGGCGACGAUCAGUAGCUGGUCUGAGAGGAUGAUCAGCCACACUGGGACUGAGACACGGCCCAGACUCCUACGGGAGGCAGCAGUGGGGAAUAUUGGACAAUGGGCGCAAGCCUGAUCCAGCCAUGCCGCGUGAGUGAUGAAGGCCUUAGGGUUGUAAAGCUCCUUUGUCCGGGACGAUAAUGACGGUACCGGAAGAAUAAGCCCCGGCUAACUUCGUG